rnacentral:lncRNA from 1 species
UUUUUUUUUUCCCAAAUGUUCGGGGCGUUGUUUGGUUCUUUCCUUCCAGGUGUUAUUGACUGUCAUGUCGGUGUGUUUUGGUUCUUUCCUCAGGUGUUAUUGACUGUCAUGUGGGGGUUGGUUCUUUCCUCAGGUUUAUUGACUGUAUGUCGGGGCGUUGUUUGGUUCUUUCCUCAGGUGUUAUUGACUGUCAUGUCGGGGCGUUGUUUGCGUUUCUUGUUUAUGUACCGUUUCUUUAUUAAACACUCCCUGUAGUUGCAUCCCGACUCUCAGAGUUCAUGUUUACACGCGCCCUCUCAGCUGGUGUGGGACCUCACAACCAAGCUGCAACCCGCACUGCUCAAAAGAAACAAUUACAAUA